rnacentral:rRNA from 1 species
ACUCCUACGGGAGGCAGCAGUAGGGAAUCUUCCACAAUGGGCGCAAGCCUGAUGGAGCAACACCGCGUGAGUGAAGAAGGGUUUCGGCUCGUAAAGCUCUGUUGUUAAAGAAGAACACGUAUGAGAGUAGCUGUUCAUACGUUGACGGUAUUUAACCAGAAAGUCACGGCUAACUACGUGCCAGCAGCCGCGGUAAUACGUAGGUGGCAAGCGUUAUCCGGAUUUAUUGGGCGUAAAGAGAGUGCAGGCGGUUUUCUAAGUCUGAUGUGAAAGCCUUCGGCUUAACCGGAGAAGUGCAUCGGAAACUGGAUAACUUGAGUGCAGAAGAGGGUAGUGGAACUCCAUGUGUAGCGGUGGAAUGCGUAGAUAUAUGGAAGAACACCAGUGGCGAAGGCGGCUACCUGGUCUGCAACUGACGCUGAGACUCGAAAGCAUGGGUAGCGAACA